CUUCACUGUUUAUCAUCUGCAUCCAUCUCUGUAACUUUUCUUUUUGAAGUCUCAUAUCUCUGGCUUGGUCAUAUUCCCUCAUGAUAAGAUGGAAUACAUUGUUUUAUGGCUUUCUAGAGGUGGAGUAUUAUCAAUCAAGAUUAUCUGGCCUUUGUGUGUAACUUCAAUUCUCAUAUCAUAUAUUGUUUGUUGGGUGGUGG
rnacentral:misc_RNA from 1 species